GCAAGAACUGGUCGGGCUCGCUAAUAAGGAUUGGGUUUCCAGGGGUACCACUGGUCGUUCCGACGCGCAGUCUACGGAGGAGGGCAUGGAUUUUUGCCCAUCUUAGGUAUCUGUAAUGUCAUGAGUCUCAGAUUGAUUCAGAUCAACUUCCACCACUCCCGAGCCGCUUCCGCUCUUGGGGGUUAUAAUGACCUUGCUCUUUUCAAGAGUCAUGGCACUAUAAGGGCCGAAUACGGGGUUUCACUGCAAUUUGAGGGUAAGUUGUUUUCUUUUACGUCUUGUACUUCUGAUAGUAAUCUCCGGACUUGUGUUUUCAUUAGGAAUAACAUAUGUGUUUCACC
rnacentral:lncRNA from 1 species